rnacentral:rRNA from 1 species
UUUCGCCUGAGAACUACUAGCCACAGCUUAAAACUCAAAGGACUUGGCGGUGCUUUAUACCCACCUAGAGGAGCCUGUUCUAUAAUCGAUAAACCCCGAUACACCUCACCACUUCUUGCUAAUACAGCCUAUAUACCGCCAUCAUCAGCAAACA